UACGGAGGGUGCAAGCGUUAUCCGGAUUCACUGGGUUUAAAGGGUGCGUAGGAGGGCAGGUAAGUCAGUGGUGAAAUCUCCAAGCUUAACUUGGAACUGCCGUUGAUACUAUCUGUCUUGAAUAUUGUGGAGGUGAGCGGAAUAGUGUCAUUGUAGCGGUGAAAUGCUUAGAUAUGACAUAGAACACCAAUUGCGAAGGCAGCUCACUACACAAUCAUUGACUCUGAGGCACGAAAGCGUGGGGAUCAAGACGAUGAUAACGAACCGUGUCAG
rnacentral:rRNA from 1 species